AGGAAUACUCAGCUGACCCAACUGAUUUUCUCGUGUUUUUUCCUUCAAGGGCUAGUAGAAGUCUAUAUGUUGUGGUGGAAAACAACCUCAGCCCUAUAGUCCAACAUUUGCCUAUCAAAACUUGUCCUAUGAUUUAUAAAACUAGAACCUCACUGGUAAGUCACAUUCCUAGAGUCUCCCCCAUCCCUAACCCCAGUCACGGAAAAUAAAUCAAAUCAUUGUCACUCUUUCUUAACAAAGAGCAUACAUUUAAAACUUGAGUAAAAUUACAGGUACCGUCUGGGGCCUUCAAGGGGGAACUUGAAGUCUCAAUACCGCAGUUGUCCAAUCAGAGGAUCCAAGAUGAAUAUACUCAAGGACUUUAUGCUUGGCAUCCUCUGGAGACAGUACAUAACCACCAGCUUGGUUUAACUGGAGAUUCAUUUGGGUUAGGAGAAAUUAUGUAGGCAAUGUACUUAGUCAAUGGAGGCCUCAUGCCUGAAGACUUACAAGAAUCUGAAUUCGUAUGUUACUUUUCCUUUAAUGGAGUGGAAUUCCAAAUGAAAAUAAUCAAACAGCAUGUGCAUAAACAUUAGAUAUAAUACCCA
rnacentral:lncRNA from 1 species